AAUAGAUACCCUGGUAGUCCACGCUGUAAACGUUGGGCGCUAGGUGUGGGGGGCCUCUCCGGUUCUCUGUGCCGCAGCUAACGCAUUAAGCGCCCCGCCUGGGGAGUACGGCCGCAAGGCUAAAACUCAAAGGAAUUGACGGGGGGCCCGCACAAGCGGCGGAGCAUGCGGAUUAAUUCGAUGCAACGCGAAGAACCUUACCUGGGUUUGACAUCACCGCAAAACUUCCAGAGAUGGGGAGGUCCUUCGGGGGCGGUGACAGGUGGUGCAUGGCUGUCGUCAGCUCGUGUCGUGAGAUGUUGGGUUAAGUCCCGCAACGAGCGCAACCCUCGUUCGAUGUUGCCAGCGGGUUAUGCCGGGGACUCAUCGAAGACUGCCGGGGUCAACUCGGAGGAAGGUGGGGAUGACGUCAAGUCAUCAUGCCCCUUAUGUCCAGGGCUUCACGCAUGCUACAAUGGCCGGUACAAUGGGCUGCGNUACGUGAGGUGGAGCGAAUACCCGAAAACGCCGGUCUCUAGUUCGGAGUUCGGGGUCGUGCAACGUCCC
rnacentral:rRNA from 1 species